UCCUACAUAUCCUCCGGGAGGUGGCGGUGGUGGUGGAGCCCCUACACUUGCUUUGGGAUGUGGCAGAGCUAAUGCACAUUCCCCUGGAGGUGGCGGUGGCGGUGGAGCUCCUACAUAUCCUCCGGGAGGUGGCGGUGGUGGUGGAGCCCCUACACUUGCUUUGGGAUGUGGCAGAGCUAAUGCACAUUCCCCUGGAGGUGGAGGUGGCGGUGGAGACUCUACAUGUCCUCCAGGAGGAGGCGGUGGUGGUGGAGCCCCUACACUUGCUUUGGGAUGUGGCAGAGCUAAUGCACAUUCCCCUGGAGGUGGCGGUGGCGGUGGAGACUCUACAUGUCCUCCAGGAGGAGGCGGUGGUGGUGGAGCCCCUACACUUGCUCUGGGAUGUGGCAGAGCUAAUGCACAUUCCCCUGGAGGUGGCGGUGGUGGUGGAGACUCUACAUGUCCUCCAGGAGGAGGCGGUGGUGGUGGAGCCCCUACACUUGCUUUGGGAUGUGGCAGAGCUAAUGCACAUUCCCCUGGAGGUGGCGGUGGUGGUGGAGACUCUACAUGUCCUCCAGGAGGAGGC
rnacentral:lncRNA from 1 species